UUGUGCCGGUCGCUGGUUGAUCGGGACGUAUUUUGCGCGACUCGUAUCGUUUAUCCGGACUUCUACUUUUCAAUUUGUAUUAUAUUCGAUCAUCAAUUGACUAUUUAAUUUUAACUUGACUUUAGUAACUUUCAUACAGUUAUUUAUUUGCGCGUAAGUGUAUCGCGGCCAUGUUGAUUUAUUCAUCAUUUGGAGGACCCAUCGUGCUAAUUAUUUGCCGUGCCUUGGAGUCUGAUGAGUUCUGAAUUGUAUUUGCACCUGCUUUGGAGUCUGAUGAAUUCUGCAUUGUAAUUGAAGAAAUCCCAGUGAGGGCCAGUGACGUUCCAUGAGUUACCAUACACGAGGAGAGAGUACAUGGGUGAGAUUAUAAUUAAAUUCUUCAUUUCAUGGGCAUAGUUCAGUUUCGCGUCAUUGUACGAGUAUUUGUCAUUCCUAUUUGAAUUAAUAUUAAUUUAAUACAUUGCCCGCCUAGUAAAUGCUUCUUUUUACCGAUGUUUAAUGUAACGCGAGUUAUAAUGAAAGUUGUGUGCAUACGCACUUGUACUCGGUGCGCUAGUACCCGUUGCGCUAGGAAUUGUAGUUUUAUUGUUAUAACACGCGAACGCGGUGUCAAAAUUAGAUUGAAAUAAUUUUGUCAAAUGCAGAAUUUAAUUCCGCAUCUCCCAGUAUUUAAAUAUAU